rnacentral:rRNA from 1 species
CCUACGGGUGGCAGCAGUGGGGAAUAUUGCGCAAUGGGCGAAAGCCUGACGCAGCGACGCCGCGUGAGGGAUGAAGGUCUUCGGAUCGUAAACCUCUGUCAGCAGGGAAGAACGGUCACUGUGCUAAUCAGCAGUGAAUUGACGGUACCUGAAGAAGAAGCCCCGGCUAACUACGUGCCAGCAGCCGCGGUAAUACGUAGGGGGCAAGCGUUAUCCGGAUUUACUGGGUGUAAAGGGGGCGCAGACGGCGAUGCAAGCCAGGAGUGAAAGCCCGGGGCCCAACCCCGGGACUGCUCUUGGAACUGCGUGGCUGGAGUGCAGGAGGGGCAGGCGGAAUUCCUGGUGUAGCGGUGAAAUGCGUAGAUAUCAGGAGGAACACCGGUGGCGAAGGCGGCCUGCUGGACUGCAACUGACGUUGAGGCCCGAAAGCGUGGGGAGCAAACAGGAUUAGAUACCCUGGUAGUC